rnacentral:snoRNA from 1 species
ACCUAUGAACCAAGAAAUCACGGUUCAAUUCCCCAUCAGAUCGACCCUGUUGAUCUAACUAAACUAUUUGCCAGUUUUUGUCUGAUGCAUUGGG